GGUUCAGUUACCCCAGAAUAGGUGACUGUGCGCUGUGUACAGAGCACCGCGAGCUGCUGGUCAUGGUGCUCCGUCAGGUCAGCGGUAGUUGGUGGUCUAGUUACCCCAGAAUAGGUGACUGUGCGCUGUGUACAGAGCACCGCGAGCUGCUGGUCAUGGUGCUCCGUCAGGUCAGCGGUAGUUGGUGGUCUAGUUACCCCAGAAUAGGU